GAUGAACGCUGGCGGCGUGCCUAAUACAUGCAAGUCGAGCGAACGGACGAGGAGCUUGCUUUUCUGAUGUUAGCGGCGGACGGGUGAGUAACACGUGGAUAACCUACCUAUAAGACUGGGAUAACUUCGGGAAACCGGAGCUAAUACCGGAUAAUAUAUUGAACCGCAUGGUUCAAUAGUGAAAGACGGUUUUGCUGUCACUUAUAGAUGGAUCCGCGCUGCAUUAGCUAGUUGGUAAGGUAACGGCUUACCAAGGCAACGAUGCAUAGCCGACCUGAGAGGGUGAUCGGCCACACUGGAACUGAGACACGGUCCAGACUCCUACGGGAGGCAGCAGUAGGGAAUCUUCCGCAAUGGGCGAAAGCCUGACGGAGCAACGCCGCGUGAGUGAUGAAGGUCUUCGGAUCGUAAAACUCUGUUAUUAGGGAAGAACAUAUGUGUAAGUAACUGUGCACAUCUUGACGGUACCUAAUCAGAAAGCCACGGCUAACUACGUG
rnacentral:rRNA from 1 species